GUGCUCGCUUCGGCAGCACAUAUACUAA
rnacentral:snRNA from 1 species